AAAGAAAUCCUGCAAAAAAAUUAGAAAUAUGUUUUUAAAAAGAAUGAAAUCCUGUCCUUUGCAGCAAAAUGGAUGGACCUAGAAGACACUGUUUUAAGUAAACCGAGCCAGAAACAGAAAGAUUCCUUUCUGUAACAUGGACAAGAAUCUGGAAGGUCGGAGUAGAGGCCUCCUCCGCGGUUGGAGAGCUGCUUGGACCCCCACGCAGUGACAAGAUGAUUGUAGUUCACAAUAACUGAUCGGGUAUUUUAUGAAUGACCUAGAAGAAAAGAGCUCAGAGGCUCCAAAUAAGAGAGGGAAAUGAGCAUCCCACUAAUUGACCAGGACGUGCUGCAUCCACGUGUUGAAAUACCACACUGGGCAACCUUCAUAUGUGCCAUUAAUACUUGUUAAUAAAAAAUGUUCUGAUUAAAACAA